rnacentral:rRNA from 1 species
UACGUAGGCAGCGAGCGUUGUUCGGAGUUACUGGGCGUAAAGAGUGCGUAGGCGGUUUUCUAAGUUUGGUGUGAAAUCUCCCGGCUUAACUGGGAGGGUGCGCCGAAAACUGGAAGGCUUGAGUAUGGGAGAGGUAAGCGGAAUUCCUGGUGUAGCGGUGAAAUGCGUAGAUAUUAGGAGGAACACCUGCGGUGUAGACGGCUUACUGGACCAUAACUGACGCUGAGGCACGAAAGCGUGGGUAGCAAACAGG